rnacentral:lncRNA from 1 species
UCUCAAUCCAUUCCAAGUAAAUGUGUUAAAUCCUCUCAGACAUCCUAUAGUGAAACUUCAAAAUUCCAAAGACAAAAAUGAUAUUUUUAAAGCAGCCAGACAAAAAGAAGAGAUAAUCUUCAAAAGAAUGGCAAUAAGAUUGAGAGCAAAGUUUUUAGUUCCAACGAUGGCAGCCAGAAGACAUGGAAUAGUGCCUUCACAGUGUGGAGACGCACUUCCAGUCGUCCAGAACUGUGUACUGCACAAAACUGUGUAUGCAGCAGGAGCAAAAACGAAACAAAGGUACAUUCAGAUACGUGUGGUUGGUGGCAAACCAGCAGACCUUUCCCAGGGGAGAUCGCAGGAGAGUGCAAGAUGCAAGAAGGAGUGGUGGGCAAAGGAGCUGAUAGACACGCAUGUAAAACUCACACGGGAUCCACGUAAGAAAUUCUGCUUGAACCGGAAACCGACUUCAGAAUUUCCCUUUUACAGGGGCGGGACUUCCGUGCAGAGGGGGAAAGCAACAAGACAGAUGGAGAGGAUCAUUAUUUCUGAGGAAAUGAACAGAGUGCUGUAAGAGAGAGAAUUUGAAGAAGGCCAACUUGAGUUUCAAUCGAUGCAAAACUCUG